GGCGUGACUCCAAUUGAACCGCAGGCUUCACCCCUUGUGGUGCUCCCCCGCCAAUUCCUUUAAGUUUCAUACUUGCGUACGUACUUCCCAGGCGGCAGACUUAACGGCUUCCCUGCGGCACUGCAUUGGCCACAAGCCAAUGCAUCACCGAGUCUGCAUCGUUUACAGCUGGGACUACCCGGGUAUCUAAUCCGGUUUGCUCCCCCAGCUUUCAUCCCUCACCGUCGAACGUGUUCUGGUACACCGCCUUCGCCACAGGUGGUCUUCAAUAGAUCAAAGGAUUUUACCCCUUCCUAUCGAGUACCGUGUACCUCUCCCACUCCCUAGCUGCACAGUAUUUUCGGCGGCCUAUACGUUAAGCGCAUAGAUUUAACCGAAAACUUAUGCAACCGGCUACGGAUGCUUUAGGCCCAAUAAACCUCCUGACCACUCGAGGUGCUGGUUUUACCGCGGCGGCUGACACCAGAACUUUGCCCACCCCUUUAUUCACCAGUGGAAUCUACAAAUGGACAAAGACUCCUUUUAGCAGGAGACACUCGGAAUUACCUUUGUCGUGGUUUCCGCACAUUUGCAAACGGUUUCUCGCCUGGUUGGGCCACAUUAGGGCCCUGGGUCCGGGGUCUCAGUACCCAUUUCUCCGGGGCCCUU
rnacentral:rRNA from 1 species